CGUGUAGGCGGUAUUGUAAGUCAGAUGUAAAAGGCUACGGCUUAACCGUAGAUGGUCAUUUGAAACUGCAGUACUUGAGUGCGAGAGAGGGUAGUGGAAUUCCCAGUGUAGCGGUGAAAUGCGUAGAUAUUGGGAAGAACACCAGUAGCGAAGGCGGCUACCUGGCUCGUAACUGACGCUAAUGCGCGAAAGCGUGGGGAGCGAACAGGAUUAGAUACCCUGGUAGUCC
rnacentral:rRNA from 1 species